ensembl:lncRNA
AGGGCCGUCAGCCUGUCCUCCCACCCAGCGGCCCUGUCUGGAAUCUCCCACCAGCAGGAGAGGCAGGCUGCCGGGCACUGGCCAGGCCGGGGAUACGCGGGAGGGGCUCCCCACAACCCCGGCUCCGGGGUGCACACACGGGUCCUGCUCCCCAGGCGGGGCUCUUGGUCCCCAGCUCUGGGCCGCCGGACAGCAGAGCCUGGGCUGCCUCUCCUGAUGCCAGUGGGACGGGGUGAAAUGAGAGGCACACCCUGCAACUGUUUGCAGGGCCAGUUCCGCCAAAUAGUCAACCCCCGCCCUCCAUCCCCGGCCUCUGCUUAUGUGGGGGCCACAGGGCCUGCUGCUUCAAAGGUACUCGAAAGUCUAAGGAACGAGCUGACCCGCGCCCUUCCCCCUCCUGCACCAGAACUUGCUGGAGGGGCGCUGGGCCCUCUUCCCUGGGGCGCACCUGGAGCUGGGCUCCGAGCAGGUAACCAGGACACUCAGGCCUGGCACCCCUGAGGGCAGACCCCGAGGCUGGUCCCCGCUGCAGCAGGGCACCCAGCAAGGGGCCACUGUGGUGUCCCCCACGUGACACUCAUGGCCUCAGAUCUGCGGCCACCUGCCCAGCUCAGCAAUCCCCCCUCUCCCCCUACCCUGGGCAGAGGGAGGGCAGACGGCAGAGCCCCCUGGAGGCAGGUGACCACACGGAAGUUCCCGCAAAGAAGGAGUUGCAAGGUUGGGGCGGGUGCAUCUUGGCGUGGGCUCAGCCCAGGGAGAGGCGAGAGAGCACGGAGCCUGCAUCCUCCACCCCCCACCCCAAGAGGGGGCGCCAUCCCACCCCCCCUCACUGCUCAGCACCCCUGUCUCUGGAGGGUGAGCACUUUCCAGGGUCCUGCCUCCUAAUAUCCCACCUGAGCAAAACUCCCAGAGCGACCCUCUGCUCAGUAGGUGUAGCCAGCGUCCGCCCCAUCAGUUUAAGGACGCAGGCUCCACCUCCCCANNNNNNNNNNNNNNNNNNNNNNNNNNNCCCAGAAGGGGCUGCAAAGGGGGUCCCUGGCUUCUUCAGGCUCCAUUUUCACCGAGCUGGGAGGGGGCGUCGCCCACGAACUGAUACCACCCUUACAGAGGCUGCAUGGCCAGUGCCCCGCCCCAGUGGGUGAGGUCAACCCACGGAUCUUGCCCCACCCUGACUCCCAGGGCCCCGGGCAGCGCCAUCCAAACCCUUCCCAGGAUGGCCUCCCAUGUAGACACCCAGUGUCCAAGUCCUUGUGGGCUGGUGGUCCAGGGGGGAUGCGUUGCCGAUUGUAAGUGGGGGCCCCGAGCUGGGGAACAAAGACGGGAGACAACCCAGAAGGUCCCACGGGCGGUGAAGGCUGUUUUAACUCCCUCCAAACCCGCCUGCUGCAUUUUCCAGCAUCCUGGUGUUCCAGCCAGUCUGUAGCUUCCGCACCCCGUGGGAGAGAAGGCCGGCCGUGGGCUCCUUCCACCCCAGCAGCUUGCCUUUUGGCCUCACCCGGCAGCUGCGGCAUGUUGGGGAGUAUUUCUUCCCUCUGGAAGGACCUCCAGCACCGUGACGGUGGACACGAGGCUGUCCCUGGCCUCCCGGCCUCUGACUUCCGUCUCUGGCCCCCAGGCCAUCUGUCCGCACAGUGCGUCCGGGGUCCGGGCUGCGGGCCUGUGCGCUGGCAGUGGCACCGCAGUGGCGUGGAACUCCCCACCCCACCCCCCACAGGAGGCUCUUUGUCCCGAAGCUCUCUGGGUCCCCUCGGAGGUUUCCGGUCACAUCCAGCAGCAGGAGCUCCGAGGACGUCAGCCUCAGGCCCCUCCGGGACGCCACGUCCUCCCCCUGAGGGGACACCAUCCAGGGGUUAUCACGCCCUGCUGGGCAGCAGUGGGGCCGGCGCCCUGCCCCCACCUCCAUCGGCAGAGCUGCUCUGGGGACAAAGGGGACAAGAGUCUGGCUGCGCUUGAAACGUCUAGGGGGAGGCCCUCGCCUUCCUAACUCGAGCCCCACCCCAGGGGGGACCCUGUGCCAAGGAUGACAGGGCCUCCUGUGGGGGCCACGAGCUCGCCCAGAGGGUCCCUGGGAGAACAUGGGGCCGGCCCAGUCCCCUCAAGGCGUUUGAGUGUGUGACUUGUCAACGGGAGAUGCGCCCGCCCCAAAACACUGCACCAUCGGCCAAACCUGGAAAUGUUGAAGCUACAGGAAACUUUGAGGGAGGCGCCUGCCCCAAGGGAGCGGCCACGGCCAAGGACGCCCACGGCACCUGCCCUGGGCUCCAGCCUGCAGACGACUCUGCAUUUGCCCUUCCCUGCUCAGUACAUGUCUGCUGCCCGUUCCUUCGCCCCUCCGGGAAUGUGGGCUCAGCCCCUUGGAGGGAGAACUGGAACCGGGGGGAACAGGGGCAGAAGGGGCUCCUGGACCCGGUCCCCACCCAGUGCCCCCGCCCGUCCAGCUUGCUGUGUGUGCGUCGGAUUUCAAGAUGCAAAACCUUUAUCUUUUAUUAUAAAAGCGGUUCGUUCUCUCGUGAAAAAUUUAAAUAACAUG